CUCUAGGUACCUUUAUGUUUGGAUUCCCAUUUAACUUAACAUAAGUCCCCACAUGUUAAAAUUUUGCUUCUCCGAUUAACAUUAAAGUCAAUUGAUACUAGAUUCUAACUUCAGGUUGACUUUACUUAACCCAAAUCAAGCAUGCACUGUAUCCCUGUAGCACCGCUGACCCGCUUUUACUUACACACUCAAGAGCUCAUGGGCGCUUCGCAAAUCGCGUUUAUAAUUAUAUGAAACCCUCGGGUAAUUAUUUCUACGUUCAAAGGAAGGAUGACUAUGAUCGUGGGAACACUGGAUUCGGUUGAGCUUCCCAGCUCCUUCGUAGCAGCUGUGAUGAUUUACAGGGGUCCGGUUUGGAGUGGGAAUCAUAAUGUAUCAGCCAUGCUCAUUGCCCAGCAAAAGUGAGGAGGUUGCCUUGGAGAAUUCACUUUUUUCACAGCUUAGGUCAGUGAAACCAGAGGCAUCAGAAUUGAAAGCUAUUUGAAAUUCAAAGGAUCCCUUGCAGCCUCUAUAGAAUGUUUCAACUAGCACAUUAUAUAUCAAGAACCAACUAUCCUAAAAGUUAAAUUGUCAGGUGAAGGCACAUGAAUGAUUUUAUAUUAUACUUCUAAUAUAUUCUUCCACUUAUGCUGAAAUUCAACUUCUUAUUAGAAAAGUGAGAACAACA